GUCUCAGUACAAGCCGCACUAAGGUGAAACCGCAAACGGCUCAUUAAAUCAGUUUUAGUUCACUUGAGUGAAAACAUCCGUUUUUGGAUAACUGUGGCAAUUCUAGAGCUAAUACAUGCAACCAAGUCCCGACCAGUAAUGGAAAGGACGCUUUUAUUAGAUCAAAAUCAAUCGGGGUCGGACAAGCGCCGCUCCGUUUGACUUGAUGACUCUGAAUAACCAGUCGGAUCGCACGGUCUCUGUGCCGGCGACCCAUCUUUCAAAUGCCUGACUUAUCAACUGUCGAUGGUAGAUUCUACGUCUACCAUGGUUGUAACGGGUGACGGGGAAUCAGGGUUCGAUUCCGGAGAGGGAGCCUGAGAAACUGCUACCACAUCCAAGGAAGGCAGCAGGCACGCAAAUUACCCACUCCCGGCACGGGGAGGUAGUGACAAAAAAUAACGAUACGGGACUCAUCCGAGGCCCCGUAAUCGGAAUGAGAACACUCUAAAUCAUUUAACAAGGACCUAUUGGAGGGCAAGUCUGGUGCCAGCAGCCGCGGUAAUUCCAGCUCCAAUAGCGUAUAUUAAAGUUGUUGCGGUUAAAAAGCUCGUAGUUGGUUCUGCGUCCCACGCUGUCGGUUCACCGCCUGUCGGUGCAACUGGCACGCCGUGGGAUGUCCUGUCGGUGGCGGCCGCGGCCCGGCGGUCGAGGGGUAAGAUCCGAAUGGGUCCGAACCCUCACCCCGGGAUCCGGUCGCCUAACUAAUCCCGCCGCGGUGCUCUUAACUGAGUGUCGAGGUGGGCCGACACGUUUACUUUGAACAAAUUAGAGUGCUCAAAGCAGGCUGAAUUCCGCCUGAAUAGUGGUGCAUGGAAUAAUUGAAUAGGACCUCGGUUCUAUUUUGUUGGUUUUCGGAAUCCGAGGUAAUGAUCAAUAUGGACAGGCGGGGGCAUUCGUAUUGCGGCGUUAGAGGUGAAAUUCUUGGAUCGUCGCAAGACGGACUAGAGCGAAAGCAUUUGCCAAGUAUGUCUUAGUUGAUCAAGAACGA
rnacentral:rRNA from 1 species